GAACGCUAGCGGCAGGCUUAACACAUGCAAGUCGAGGGCAGCAUGAGGGUUAGCAAUAACCCUUGAUGGCGACCGGCGCAAGGGUGCGUAACGCGUGAGCAACUUGCCCGUUUCAGGGGGAUAACCGGUGGAAACGCCGACUAAUACCCGAUGGCAUGCAUUUCCGGCAUCGGAGAUGCAUUAAAGAUUUUAUCGGUGACGGAUGAGGAUGCGUACGAUUAGCUUGUUGGCGGGUAACGGCCCACCAUGGCGACGAUGUCUAGGGGGUUCUGAGAGGAAGGUCCCCCACACUGGAACUGAGACACGGUCCAGACUCCUACGGGAGGCAGCAGUGAGGAAUAUUGGUCAAUGGGCGCAAGCCUGAACCAGCCAAGUAGCGUGAAGGAUGAAGGUUCUAUGGAUUGUAAACUUCUUUUAUACGGGAAUAAAACCUCUUACGUGUAGGAGCUUGUAUGUACCGUAUGAAUAAGCAUCGGCUAACUCCGUG
rnacentral:rRNA from 1 species